UCUGACCGUGCCUGUCUCGAUUUGAGUGGUGAAGAAAGAUUCUUACCUGGGAGCCCUGUUUUCAGCGUCCAUGCUUGCGCUUCUGUUUGUCCACAGAAAUGAACAUUGACUACCUCUUCUCCAGCCCAUCUGCCCUGAUGGCACUGUGCCCGGGUCCUGGCAGAGCGCGGGUGCUGCAGAGGGCUGGAGGUGCAGUGCUGGGAGCAGUGGCUGGAGGGAGGGAGCAGGAAAGGAGCGGGCGCAGGGAGAAGAGAGGCAGAAAGGCACAUUUUCUUGCACUUCCCUGAGUCUCAGGCCCUUGGCCCUGUGUCAGCAGACCCUGCCGUAGUCCUCUGGGAGUCGAGUCUUGAGAUGACCUGCGCAUGAGAGUGCACUGUGCCUGGGGGACAGGGGAUGUUGGAACCUGGCUCCAGUGCCCUCCCCAGCCAUAAACUUCAAGGAGUCAACACUCAAGAUGUAUGGAUGACAACAACAAAAGCCAAGAGAAUUUGCCACAGAGCAUUAGGUAUAAGAAAAGACUUUCAUGGAGGACUUCGCCUCUGGCCAAGGAAGAAUUUCUAAGCCUUCUGUAAAAUGUCAAUCAACUGGCGCUGGUGAAGUUCAAUCCAUGACUCCAGGAUACUAAAGAAAGUGCCCGGAAGCAAAGGGGGUGUGCAAGGUCAGCUCCACAGGCAGUGCGUGGAGGGGAGUAGGAGGAGCUCAGCUUCGGAGGAGACUCAGUGGGUGGGGGGUCUUGUUACUCUCCCCAUCUCCAUCCCCAACCUUCCCCAGAAGGGUGGACUGCUCCUUCUCUGACUCAGCUGAAAUCUUUUGUAGGUUGCCUUAUGGAUAAUUUUCCCUUGUAGGUGGGAUUCAUCGAUAUAGUCCAGUUCCUCUCUGCAGAAGGUCCAUGGCUCUGGGAGGGAAGGAAUCACCUCCUCAGUAGUAGAAGAGAACCUGGUGGAUGGUGCAUGCUUAAAAUAAAUCUCUCCAUUCCUCCAGCCAGAAAUUUUUGUCUCGUCACUGCUUAGUUUAUCAUGUUGUUUUGUAGUAAUAUAUAGACAACAGAAAAUUAACAUUAGCCAUUUCAGGUGUACUGCUCAGUAGUGUUAAAAGCUUUCACACUGUGCAAUCAUCUUCACCAUCCAUUGCAUGGUUUUUCGUAUUCCCAAACCGAUACUCCACACCCAUGGACAAUGAGCUCCAUUCCUCCUUCCCCCAGCCGCAAGCAGCAGCUGUUUUGCUUUGUCUCUAUGAAUUUGCUCAUUCUUAGUGUCUUGCACAAGUGUGAUAUGUGUCUUUUGUGACUGGGUUAUUUCACUCAGAACAGUGUCUGCGAGGUUCAUCUGCGUUGCAGAUUUUUCUCCUGCUUCCACUCAGUCCCUGCUCUCAUGGCCUAACCCCAUUCUAGGUACAAUGGGACAUCUGGGCAUAAGAUGAAGCUCUUCCUGUAAGAUGUAUGGGAGGAUAUGUCAAAAUUUCCUGUCUUUGUAAGACUUAUCAGUGUUUCAUUGCAUGUUUUAACAUGUUUUAUUUAUCCAUUCAUCUUUCAAUGGCGACUUGGGUGGUUUUCACCUUUUGAGUAUUGUGGAUCAGGCUACAGAUGAACGUGGGUGUACAGAUAUUUGCUUGAGCCCUGCUAUCAGUUCUUUUGGGUAUACACUCAGAAAUAAAAUUGGUCAGAAAACUACUUUGUAAGUAUGGAUGUAGGCUGGCGUGAAGUGAAAGUAAGAGAAAAUGGUGUCACAACUAUAGGAGUUCAUAGGUCAGGUAUCACUGGAGAACUAAGUGCCACAAAUUUAUCUAAAGCAUCAGAACCUUUCUGGGGGGCUGGGAUCAGAACCUGUACCCCCAGAUGAUCCUGAUGACCAGCUAGGCCUGGAGAAUACAAACGUCCACAAUUUUCAAGCCCUUUUCCCAUUAUAAUUGAUAGAACCGUGUUAUCCCUCCUAGCCAAAAUGCUUCUGUGACAUCUUUGGACGUUUUCCAUGUAGAUGGGAAAUAAUUUCAGGAAUUUCAAGAGUGGCUCACUAUCUAAUUCUCACAGGAGGAUUUUAGGUGGCAAAUAAAAUUAUACCUACUAAAGAGCAAUUUUUUGUCCAUGAGUGAAGCAAAAGUUCUGAAACAACACCUUAGCACCUUGGUAUGUCAUUGUCCUUACCGUGAGCCUUUGUUCUUGAUUUUGUCAGUGUUCAAUAUAGAUCUAUAGUAAUACUCACAACCACUAUUGUACCAAAGAGUGUUCAUGGCACUUUUGUGGAUAUGUUGCAUUUAAUCACCCUGCCAAUUUGUGUGUGUGGGGGUAGUUACUGGGGUUGAACCUAGGGAACACAGCUACUUUUCAAUUUUGAAACCAAGUUGCUGAAGCUGGCCUCAAAUUUGCAAUGCUCCUGCCUCAGCUUUCUCAGUAGUUGAGAUUACAGGCAUGCACCUCCAUGUCUACAUCCCCAAAAUCUUUCAUGGCAUGUCCUCCACUUCCAUUUUACAAUGAAGGACACUGAGGUCUUACACAUUCUGCCUGAAGUUAUGUGGUAACCCAUAUGUCUCUCUGUCUAUAUGCAAUAAAAUUCCAGAAAUUUAGGAUCUUGAAGGAAGUCCAAUCCGAUAGUGGCUACACGCACAUCAGUCCAUGUCCCCUGGUUCCCACUGUACUGCACACAGAGCUUCAUUCUCUUGAAAUUCUUUCAUGUUUCCUCCCAGCUGGGCUAUGAGCUUCUCACUGGUAGGCUUCACCUUCUGACUCAUUCUCCUACUGCGCCUAGGCUGGGGCCAAGCAUACAAUAGAGGGUGACUGAGUGGGUGGGACAGGCUACAAUGAUGAAAGAAGGAAACAUCUGCCACACAGAAACACCCAGUACAAGCUGUACCUACAAAUGCAGGGGGAAGAGUUGUUUCUAUUUGCCAUCUCUAUGGUAGGCAAAGGUAUAUGAGAUUUAGAACUAAAAAGAUUUAGAUUUUAAUCCCGUUUCACUGCUUAUUAUUUUGAGUCUGUAGGCAAAUUAUUAGAUUCUUAGCCCCACUUUCCUUAUCUGUAAAAUGAAGAGAUUAAUAACUACUUAGAAAGAGGAAGUAAAAGCACCAGGAAUAGAGCCUGAUGUAUUAGGUACAGUAAAUAUUAGACUUCUGUAGCCACCCUCGUUGGAGAGGGAACACCGCCCUUGAGAAAGGUGUUUCUCUGGCAGGAGGGGCUGCAUUGCACUAGCAGUUGAGGCUACUAGAGGUUAGAUUUAGGGUCAAGCUUUUGGCCUAGAAAAGGUGUCUAUUUAUAUCAGCUCAAGAAGUGUUGGGAGCAGCUGGAGCUGGAAAUUGGUUGCAUAUGUGGAGCAAAGACAAGGCCAGAGUGCCUAAAGCAGUCAACUACCUCAGUCUUGAGAAAAGCAUCCUGCCUGGACAAUGUCAGUCAUUAGUUGCUAGGCAACCUUGUGUCUCGUGAUACCAACUUUGCAAGAGUAUCGGUAAACGCCCCUACUGUGUUUUCAGUCCUCUUACCCAUCAGGUAGAGAGGCCUCCACCUGAGCCCAGCUUUUGUCUCUUGUCUUUAUUUUCCAAAUCCCCUCACCAUUUUCUCCUGGGGACCACUGAGAGACCACCAGGUCCCUACAAAGAAGAGUCUAAUUGUUCACCCAUGUUGAAAGCUGCAUUAUUCCUAACAGCCAAGAGAUGAAAGGAACCCAAAUAUCCAUGGAUGGAUGGAGAAACAAAGUGUGGUAUACACAUACGAUGGAAUGCCAUGUUGCCUUGAAAAGGUUGGAAAUCUGGACACAUGCUAUAACAUGGGUGGGCCUUGGGAACGACAUGCUAAGUGAAGUAAGCCAGGCGCAUAAAGACAAAUACCACGUGACUCCACUUGUGUGAGGUACCCCAUAGAAACAGAAAGAGUGGUGGUUGCAGAGUGUUUCAAGAUCAGAAAGUUCUGGGAAUUGGUUGUACAACAAUGUGAAUAUACUUAAUGCCGCAGGAGUAUACGCUGGAAAUGUAUAGUGGCAUGUUUUAUGUUAUAUAUAUUUUACCACAAUUAAAAAUGAAAAGUAGAA